rnacentral:tRNA from 1 species
CAUUGAGUGGCUGAAAGUAAGCAUUGGUCUCUUAAACCAAAUUAUAGUAAAUAACGAUCUACUCUCAAUGA